rnacentral:snRNA from 1 species
GGAUGUGACAGUGAUUUUGCUAUGGGAUCUGUUACUCUGUUGAUUCCUAGGGUUGAUUCAGCUGAUCUGGCUGGCUAGACAGUGUCCUCUUCCUACCUCAACAUUCCAUGGUAUGCGCUUGGUGUAAGAGGAUGAGCAUUCAAAAUAGGCGUGCACAAUAGCUGUGCUCCCUGCUAGAGCCUCCUAACAAGCUCAGAGCCCAUAUUUAGAAAACUGUGGUAGUUCUCAUAGUUCUCACAGAACUGUGGAAGUUCUCAAGCUAAAUUUUCUAU